CAUGCAAGUCGAGCGAACAUGAAGGGAGCUUGCUCCCGGAUGUUAGCGGCGGACGGGUGAGUAACACGUGGGUAACCUGCCUGUAAGACUGGGAUAACUCCGGGAAACCGGAGCUAAUACCGGAUAGUUCCUUGAACCGCAUGGUUCAAGGAUGAAAGACGGUUUCGGCUGUCACUUACAGAUGGACCCGCGGCGCAUUAGCUAGUUGGUGGGGUAAUGGCUCACCAAGGCGACGAUGCGUAGCCGACCUGAGAGGGUGAUCGGCCACACUGGGACUGAGACACGGCCCAGACUCCUACGGGAGGCAGCAGUAGGGAAUCUUCCGCAAUGGACGAAAGUCUGACGGAGCAACGCCGCGUGAGUGAUGAAGGUUUUCGGAUCGUAAAGCUCUGUUGUUAGGGAAGAACAAGUGCGAGAGUAACUGCUCGCACCUUGACGGUACCUAACCAGAAAGCCACGGCUAACUACGUGCCAGCAGCCGCGGUAAUACGUAGGUGGCAAGCGUUGUCCGGAAUUAUUGGGCGUAAAGGGCUCGCAGGCGGUUUCUUAAGUCUGAUGUGAAAGCCCCCGGCUCAACCGGGGAGGGUCAUUGGAAACUGGGAAACUUGAGUGCAGAAGAGGAGAGUGGAAUUCCACGUGUAGCGGUGAAAUGCGUAGAGAUGUGGAGGAACACCAGUGGCGAAGGCGACUCUCUGGUCUGUAACUGACGCUGAGGAGCGAAAGCGUGGGGAGCGAACAGGAUUAGAUACCCUGGUAGU
rnacentral:rRNA from 1 species